rnacentral:misc_RNA from 1 species
GAUGAAGAACGCAGCGAAAUGCGAUACGUAAUGUGAAUUGCAGAAUUCAGUGAAUCAUCGAAUCUUUGAACGCACAUUGCGCCUGCCAGCACUCUGGCAGGCAUGCCUGUUCGAGCGUCAUUUCAACCAUCAAGCCCUAGGCUUGCGUUGGAGCCCUGCGGCUGCCGCAGGCCCCUAAAAGCAGUGGCGGGCUCGCUAUCACACCGAGUGCAGUAGAUUACUCUUCACUCAGGGCGUGUGGCGGGUUCCAGCCGUGAAACCCCCUACUUCUCAAGGUUGACCUCGGAUCAGGUAGGAAUACCCGCUGAACUUAAGCAUAUCAAUAAGCGGAGGA